GUUUCCACCCUUUCUCUUGGAGUCUCAACAUUUAAGCUGCCCCAUCUGAUCUUGGAUGCUAAGCAGAAUUGGGCCUGGUCAGUACUGGAAUGGGAGUCUGUUUGGGAAUACUAAGGGGUGUAAAGU
rnacentral:rRNA from 1 species